rnacentral:misc_RNA from 1 species
AUCCGUCCAAAGGUUUUACCAAUCAACUACCUGAAAACGAGAUCCAAUUCGCUCUCGAAUCGAGCCAACGCGUCCUCUUCUGCUUUCGAGUGUGCCGCCGCGCCGCUCACCAUGCCGUUGUUCCGCGACGAGCCGUCGCGAUCGGGUGCUACUGCUAGUGCUACGCCGCCGCCGGAGUGCUCGGCGCACUCGACCUUGGUGGCCGUGGCCCGCACCCUCCUCUUGCUCCUCCGCCGCGCGCGCUGGCCCCACGACGCGACGCGCCUGCACACCCGCUCCACCACGCCGCCGUCGCGGUGGCGCCGCCACCCGGCGCUCUCGAGCGCGCCGCGCAGCUCGGACACCACCUCGUCCAUGGCCGGCCGCAGCUCCGCGCUGUCCGACACGCACCGCGCCGCCACGGCGAGGACGCGGUCCGCGCACGCCGUGGGCGGCGCGGCCACCCUGCCGUCCAGCACCUCCCGCGCGCGCCCGGCGCCGAUCAGCGGCGCGGCCCAG